GGGCUCGUAGCUCAUCGGCUCAGAGCGCUCCCUCCGCAAGGGAGAAGCAGCGGGUUCAAUUCCCGCCGAGUCCA
rnacentral:tRNA from 1 species